UUGAGAAGCAGAUGCACCAUGUAUUCAUACAGUGGCAAAGUCAUACUUUUCUCUCCUAAGAAUUCUGAACUUUUGAUUUUCUUUUUAUUUGACUGCUGUUGAGCAAUGUGGUGAUAUAUUCACAGAACUAGCUAUUAAAACGUCAAGAUGCAUUUCCUAAAUUGUGCAAACAAGUUCAGAGCCCAUCACUGUGUAAAGUUAGCAUUGCUUUUCAUGGAUAGCCAGGUUAUAGUUGUCAGGGCUGAAAUUUAUUUUCCGCUUUAUCAUGAGGCUGCUCAGUGUCGUGAGAUCUUUAAAUUUUUGUUGUAAAUAUUACCCCAAUUAAUUUAGUUUUUAUCGGAAAUCUUCUUCAUUGUUCCACCUAUUUUCCAGAUCAGAUCACUUCUGAACACACUGGACACCAUAGACCUUAAUCCCCAUGGGAUUCCACUGAUGAUCAUCUUCCACUGUGAAAACUCAUCCUUUAGUUUUAUGUUAUUUUUUUCAAUAUUAAACUAUUAUUUAACUCUGUGAGGUCCUGACCUGUAGUCCCCAGCUAUUUAGUUUAUUUAGGAGCCUUUGGUGAGGCCUUCAGUGUCUGAGGCUUCUGGAAGCUUGGGGUGAGUCGGAAAUGCAGGGAAAAUUUCUCAGCUGGUUCUCCGUUAUUUACAUGCUUUUGACUCCUUCAAAGAAUUCCACCAGAUUUAGGAGGCUUAGAUUCGUUUUACAAAAGUCAUGUUUACUUUUCCUUAAUGUGUUACUUUUAUUCAUGCAUUCACUAAUUCUGUUCUUUACUAGAGCUUCAGCCAAUACGGCCAAUAUGGACACUAGACUUAGUGAUCUGCAGUUUCUGAAUUGUCACUGGAUUUAUUUUUAAAUACUGAUUUCUUAUUAGUUACCUUCCAGUCCUUUGAUAAUCACAGCAAUUUUCAGCAAAAGGUUACAUACUGAGGGUAUUAGCUCAGAUGAUUCAUAUUUAACAUUCUGUAAAAAUCUUCUAUGAGUAUCUUCUGCACCCAGUGAUGUGUUGUUAUUCAUUUUGUCUGGUUUGUAAUUUACUCUUAACAACCUUAAAUCAAGCCUUCUGUUAAUGCCUUAUAAACAAGAUGCUGGUUUCGGAGUUUCUCCGAGAUUCUCCAGGUGAACAGAGAUUUUUAAAAAAUAGAGUUUGGGAUUUUUUGCGAUUGCAUUAUCUUUUCUCAGUGCUUCUUUCAUACCUGUGUAGCUUGCUGGCUCUCACAGGCUUCUUGCUCUUGAUGUGUUCAAGACGGAUUUAUUACAUUAUUUUUUUUAUUUCUUUAGCAAACUGCUUCUAAACUCUUUCUUCAGUCUAUGUUAUUGUGCUUUUACAUUUAGUCUGCCAGAAUUUAUGUUCUUUUUAGUUUUCCUUUCUCAGACACAACUUCAGCUUUUUGCAGGAUACCUUUUAACUUCCAACAGCCUCCCUGAUCCUGCUGUUUUAUGAUGCUAGCUUUUUGUUUUUCUCUCAAGUGUUUUUUGACAGGUUAUAUGCAUUUGCUUUGAGCCUCCAAUAUAAAAUCCCAAAAUAGUCUACUUGCCAUCUGAAAACAUUUUACCUUUAUGGCUGCCACUCUGAGCGUUUUUUUUUUUUUUAACAAAUUUCCUCAUUUUUGAAUUCCCUUUCUCUGGAAUCCAGCAUAAUCACUGCAUUUGCCGGCAUUUCUUCAUUUCAGAGUAUUGAGUCACGAAUCAGAUAAAAGGAUUAAGGAUUUCGGCCUAGCCUAGUCUCUAGGAAGCCUGAAAAUAUCAGCCAUUAACAUUUCACUAAUGUUAAUUUCACUAAUUUCAUUAACUGAGAAACAGGGAAGGAAGUGGCUUGCCAGGGCUGGAGAUGGUGGGAAUUCCUGCCCUGGAACAUCAGCUUCUCUCUUCAGCCUACAACAGACAAAAUGACAGGUAAUUGGAAAAAAAAAAAGCAAUCGGGGCUGAUUUGUCACCACAUCACUGAAGUUUGAUACUGUAGAAGAAUAACGGAAAAUUGUCGAGGAGGAUUAUAAACACGGUCAAGUGACCUGCAUCUGAGGUGUAGAAAAACACAUAUAUCAUACUAAUUGUUGUUUAGCCUUGUGUGUUCGACAAGUAGAACAUCUGUGUUUCGAUAACAUAGGCCUGUGAUAGACUGAGACGCACCCGACUGAACAUUCUUGAGAUUCCUGCCCUGCUGUGGGAAAGAUCAAAGCACAGUGGAAGAGUAUGCCUGUGUGAAUCCCUGCAAUACAGGCAAAAAUAGCAGAUUUUGAGAUCUUCAAGCACGGAUUGAGUUCCGCGGUGCCCUUGUCCCCAUUUGUGUGCCUCCACCCAGGUGCUGCUUUGGGCAUCCCCUGGUUGGCAAGGUAACAAAAAUAAAUUUCCUCUUUGCAUUUCAUCCAUAGUUUUGUGGUUAUGCCUGCAUCCUGCCUGUGCCAGCUCACACAGACUAACUAGCUGGAGUGGUUUUGGGCAGAGCCCAUCUACGCUGUGCCGGUGGGAACCAGAGCAAGGUAACGGAGUGAUGAUGACAGCGUCCAGUUCUCACAUUGCCGGACACAGGAGUGAUCUGGUAUGCCGAGAAGUCUAGAAGGAUGGUGUGCAAAUGCAAGUAGUGCUUCCCUGUGAUAACGCUAGAGAAUUGAGAGUUUAGACUACUUUAUGACUUCAGUUUGCAUAUAACAAAAUCUAGGGUAAGGUCUGACCGAAAAAGGACUGAGAACGCACUCAGUAGAAGCUGGUUUGGUAGCUGAUUCUUUUUGGUUCUCUCCAAUUACAGACUGCUCCUUACAGUAAGUAGUAGGUGCUUACAAACAGCUCCAAAGCUGCUCUGAAACUGGUGGGGAUAAGCAGUCUUUGCCAAGCAGGUGCUGCACCUCAGCGUGUGACUAAAGCUUGCUUACCAGUGAAAAACGUUGACUCUGAGGUUGAGAGGCAUUGCCACUCAGCUGCUGCAAAGUGCGAGUACAGCCAGGGUGAACCAAACAACACCAGUUACAGUGCAACUGCUGACUAGCAUGGACUGCUUAGCAACAGUGAGAGUGAUAUGGAUACAGAUGAAUUGACUGUUUUCUGAGCAAGCUGGGUAGGAACAGAAGUAAUUAGCUGCUAGCUGAUGAAAAGGCAUGCUUAAUUAUUAGUAUAAUUAUAGAUAUAAUAGACCAGGAAUUAUUCAGUAAAAGUAAGAAAGCCAAUAUGUUACAAAGAAGGUAAUCAGAAUGGAAGAGAAAAUAACAGCAGUGUGAAUUCUUGAGAAGAAAUGGAAAGAAUUAAGAUGAUAAAUCUGGAAUCUUUUGGGUUUCCACUCUCUGACAUAUCAACUCAAUUUAACAAUGGUGUAAGGGUAUUCAAAGCCAACCAGGUUUGUGGCUGGUAUUAUUUCUGGUUCUAUAUAAGGUUGAUUUAACUGAUUGUAUGCCAAUGAAAUUGAGCUGUAUUUUCAUAAAUCUCAGAACCUGCACAACUUCACAAGGAUCUUUGUUCUCCUUCCAGCAAUACUACAACACAACCAUUUAAUUUGAUGGAUCUUGUGGGAAGCUCAGCUAUAGCUGAUUCUGAUCAAUAUUGGUAAUUGAUUAUGAUUCUUCGAUAAGGCAGCACUGCUUUCCCUUGGCACCCUGUGAAGUAAUUGUGACUAAGAAGCAGUCGCGUUAGUCAGCUGCCCUGCCUUGGCCACUGCAUCUUAAAAUGUUCUCCAUUCCCGCUGGGGAGAUGGCUGGGGAUAACAGACUGAACUGCACUAACAGAGACAUUAGGAUAUAUGUUGUUAAUAUAGGAUGUGUAAUCACUGAAAUGGGUAAUCUGGGGAAGAUUUUAAGUACAUCUCUUCUGAUGUCAGAAUGGACAGAGGUAGUGCUGGUCCUGCUUUUGUUCCAGGAAUCGGACUGGAUGCUAAUGGCAGCAGCAGUGAUCCGGUGUCUUCUGUAAGAAUCUGGAACUGAGAGGCCCAAGAUGUUUACAGUUUUUUCUAAAACUGUAGUAACUGUUAAAUUAUGGCAGUGGGAUGGGAGACUCUGGCACCACCAGGUCUAAUCUAGAUUCUUUGAGUCUGAUAGUAGUGGUGCCAAAUGAUUACAAACGCUUUUGCCCGUUGUGCUGGUUAGAAAGGAAAAUAAAGAUGCAAAGAUUUUACUGAAUUACUGUUUGAGGACUAAUUAUUAAAAUGGCUUUUGAUUAAUGAGUUGCGAGUCAAGCUGGUUUGGCAAAUAGCAUUUUGAUAAGGUAUUUGUAAGACAGAUAGUCUUAAAAUGAUAAGAUUAACGUAAAACACUAGCCUCAAUGAUGGUGUUAAUGCAGAAAUGAUGUAAAUGUGCAUGAGCAAUUACUGUAUGAAGUCACUGGGGUACAUCAGGACAAAUUGAAUACAGACAAACUCUAAUCAGCAUCAGCUGAGCACAGAAUCAUUGAAAAGUGAAGCUGGAAGAAAUAUUAGCUGGUCACUUAGUCUGUCUCCUCUUUCCACAGCAGAAUCAGAUCUGCUUGCGACAUUCUUGGCAUAGGCAGAACUGUUGUUUUUCUUCCAUUUUGUAGCAGACUUUUUUUCUGCUAUUGGCCUGCUACUGCGCCGAUCCUGACUCUGUCAGGACUGUUACUGCAUCUCUCCAUGGUCUUCUCUCUUUUGAGCACCUCCUGGUCUUAGUCUCUUGAUUCAGGUCAUGUUUUCCAGACCUCUAGCUGUUAUUGUUAUUCUUGCUGCUUAGCCUGUCAGCCUUUCUUGAGGAGCAGUACCCAAGACUGGAUGUGCCUCUGCACUGAGGUGUUACUAAUACUGAGUACAGCAAAAGGAUCUGCAAGGUGUCUUGCAGUGAACCAUUGGAAACUACUCUCAGAGUGCAGAUUCCAAACAGAUUUGUGUCAUGACUUCAGCCAGAGCAGUGCUGCACUCAUGAAUGUUGUGUGGGACAAUGUCAGGAGCCUUGGUGACAUUGAGAUUAGAAGCUCUGGCCUCAAACUGCUCUGGGUGUGUGCUGUGAGAGCCCUGUGGGCAAUGAAGACAGUAGCUGAAGCAAUUACUGAAGCAUUAGUGACUACCCUGGAAGCUCUUGGAAGGCAGGCAAGAUCACUGAGCACUAUAGAAAGACACCAGGCCACUGAAGGGGAUGAGGAUACCAGAAUGCUGUCUUCUUCAGAAGCAGUACCUGGGGAAGAGCUCAGUCCACGCAGGGCUCCUUCCAUCUGGAGAGGCAUCCUGAUACAUCAGCAGGGCCAGAGGUAAGGCAAGCACUAAAAGAGGGGUUUAUAAAUUCAGGUGGAAAAUCUGCCCUCUCUUUCAAAAGCUGUUCAUGCUCUCCAGACUCUCGUAUACAUUGUGCUUCAUCACCAUAUGUCAGAGAUCCACAUUCCUCUGCCAGAGCUGUUCUCUCUUGUUCUCACACCACUAUGCUGUCUCUGGAUGGAGUAUAUAGUCAGGUAAACAUGCAGAAUACAAGCAUGUAGAGAUACAUGCAUGCAGUUACACCUACAUGGACUAACAAAGCCCUGCUGUGGUGCUGUAUCCUCUCCCUCUCCUCACAUGUGUUUUCUUUGGACUGUAAGUUUCAGUGACUGUAGGCUAUUAACUGACAAUUCAGAAGAUGAUCCAGGGAAAGAAUAUGUUUAUCCUAUGCUGUAAGGUUUUUCUAUAGCACCCACUACAGGUCACAAGAUGUGAGCAGAGAGAGUUCAUGGCCUUUUGAUUUGUCUGAGUAGGAGGGUUUUUGUGUUCUUUGUACCUUAAAGCCCAGUGGUUUUCUUUUCUCAUAACUACAGUUACAGCACUUUCAAUCUGAAGGGCUUUUCCUUAGUGAACCUUUCUCUUGUACUCGCACCACUGUAUCUCUUCAUUUUCAUUAUUAGCAGAUGGAGCAUGAGUCCCAGUUCUUUCCUUCCAUCCUUCCUGCCAAGAGAUCUCUGGUGCCUAGGCACAUUUUGUGGAUACUUAAUCUUGCGCUACUUUUCUUCCAGUGAUUUUGAUUAAUUUUAUCCAUGUACAUAAAAUUAUUUUGUGAGUGACACUUUCCAUUAAAAAAAUUAUGUUGAAAGUUAGGUUUACUAACCUGAUUCCAGUGAAAACAUUUCACGCUCCCUUUUUUUCAAAUUUGAACUUCAUUAUUAUUUGCCUGUAAUCCGCUUUUAAUUGUAAGUACCCAGCAUUCUGCGAGUUCACGCAGCACCAAAUGACACAAGGUUGCUCUGGAGUGCUCCAGCGAGUGUCUUCCGGGGAAUAUUGAAAUUCCAUGGAAACAACAUGAGAACCAUUAUCUGAAACAGCCUCUUCAGGCAAACCAUAUGGGGUGAAAUAUUCUGCACUGCUUCGAUAAUCCGAGCACAGAUAUGUUCACUGGUAACUCUGCGGUAAGCAUCAGUCAUUUGCUUUGUCUGUGCAGUAUUAAUGAGCCAUUUCAAUAGACAGCAGGUUUUGACUAUAUUUGCUGCAUAUUCAUGUUGCUUCCUUCAAGUUGUUUCAAAACUCUUUCCACUAGAUUAACUGGAAAGUCUCAGUUAUUCUGUCAAGUGCUGGGGUACUGAAGAUAUGGACCAUCCUGUCCUUUCCAGUCUUGGCUGAAGAACAGGACUAGUGUUUGGAAGAGAGAUGGUGUACUAGACGCGCUGCCUGUGCCAAGCCUUCCUCCAGCAGAGAGGUUUUGCUGCUGCUUCCAGCACUGUUUGCUGGGACUACUUCUUUCUAUGAACGUAAAACCUCCUUAUUGCUUUCUGGUUCAUCUGUCAUACAGGGGUUGUGGUUGUUAGCAGGCAAUGGAGCCUUAAGACACUUUUUGCAGAUGGGCACACAUUAUUAUGGUGGAGGAGUGAGAAUAUGCAGAGCUCAGGAUAGGGAGCACAGAGGGAAGAGUUGUACGUUUUGACUAGGCUGAUUUGUGCUGUGCCCGUAAGCAUCUCUCUGUGCUGCUGUUGUCAUAUGGUUAGGGGAGCCGAAACACUCCAGACAUUGGUCUAGGUACCUACAGAGCCUCCCCGUGCAUGAAUAUGACAUUUUCCAUGGGGCAUAAAAACAUUCAUGCACAAGUUUUGAAAACCAUAGUGCAUGCAGAAGCCUCUGAGGGAUGCACUGAAGGCCGAACAGAGGGCUCUGGUCAGUACUGAAAGCCACAUGGAAAGCUUCAGGGAGCAUCAAAAGUCACUUGAAAUUUAAAAAAUACUUUAAAUUACUCCAUUUUCUCUUUGUGAGCAUUCAGAAACACAGUCCUUCUUUAAUCUUAGUGCCCAGUUCUGAUAGCUAUAUGGAGCUUAACCUGAACAGCAGCUUAAAAAAAGAAAAUAUAAAUAGAUUAGUGAGGUUACUUACAGGUCUUUCUACGGAAAGACACACCACAAAUCUUGAACUAACCACUUCCCAAGCAAGGGAACUCACAUAUAUAAACAGAACCACAAGGAUAAUUAAAAGAGAUUGGAGGUUGCCAGCACCAAACUAGAUUGGCUGAAAUGUUGGUAGAUGUGGAGGUGGGAAAAAAAGUUUUUUUUUUUAAUUUCAGUGCUCUAUUUUAUUCUACAUCUGUUUUACCAAAAAAGAGUAGAAAGUGAGCAUGUGAUUUCUCCAGGAGGACGGAGCCAGCAGUGCUGUGGAUGAGGAGAGGCGAAGGAUGACAGCCGAGGGCUGGAGGCAGCAGCCACAUCCUCGAGCCGAGUUUGUGAUUGUGCCAGGGCUGCUGGGGGAAGAGCUGGGCUGGCUGAGUGCUGCUGUGCCCCUGGAGCAGGUGGAAGAGCUACAGGCCUUGCUGUCUGGCUCCUUUUCUCACAUCAGUCGAGAUCCUGAGAUCCUACUGCCCCUCGAGCAGCAGAGGCCAUGCUGUUUUGCUGCAGUGAAGCGUCAGAAAUCCCUGGUGAGGAGUGCAGCCCUGACAAUAUGGGGAGCAAGGAAGGAUGUGGAUGCGGGAGGAUGUGUUGGGUAGUCAUUACUAAGAAUAACUGCUAUUUCACCUCUUGCCAGCCUUCCACCAGCUGCUUGGGGCCACCAUUUCAGACUUCAGCUUAAGCUGCAAAGAGUAAGUGACCUUGUUUUCCAGAGACCCUGUCUGAAGGAGCAGAAACUGGAGUGUGCCUUCAUUUACCCCUUAAGGAGCUGCCACCAGAGGAAAGGGCCUGUGUUUGCCAGCUCUCUGCAGCCCUUGCCGGGGAGCCACGCCACAGGAAGUGCUGAGCAGGAAUCGAGCGUUAUAGCAACAUGCUGGGUCGGUUUUGCUCUUGGAAAUAAAAAGUAGAACAAGCCACAGCUGAGACAAGUGCUGUGAAAGUGGGAUCUGUACCGGGCAGGAUGUAGGCUCCAGGGGGGUCACAGCAGAGGGGACCGCAUCCACAGGAGAUGCCCGGAGCCACUGGCCACAGCGUGCUGACAGCUGAGAAGGAUUCCUAUAUUUGUCCUUUUGCCUCCAUGCAUCGGCAUCCAGAUUUCAGAUGAAUUUCACGGUGUAUAAGCAUCCCAGGAGAAUUUCCUUCUUGUUCGCGCUACGGAAGAGAAACGCUCCCAUUUCCACUCGGAUCUCACAAUGGCUUGUCAGUGACAAAACAUUCCCAAAUCCUCUCAUUUAUCAAAUGGCCAAUCCUGUUAACAGCUUAAGAAACAUAAUUACCUGCAAUCUCGUCUGCGAUUCAUUUUAUGCCUCCACUUCCCUCUCUCUGGCAGCUUACCAGGAGGCAAGUCAAGAGCUGAAGCGCGGCUGCAGCCACCAAGUGCUUCAGCAAUGCAAUUUCCUCUCAUCACCCGCAUGAUGAUCACAGGGGUUUUGCCGCCCUGUUUGUAGCAGCAAGAAGCAGCGCCUCUGCAACUUGUGAGAGACUUCACCACGGCUCGUUUGGCUCAAAUCUCAGGGAGGACUUGGAAGAGCGAUGUUUGCAGGCUGGAGAUCUGCUGGCUUCCUAAAUGUUGCUUAUGUACAGGACGGCCUGAUCUGAAGAGAAGCCCUAGGACCACCAUAUCUUCCCCUGGAGUUGGGGACUAGAAAAUUCCCAGGUCUGUCCUACCCAUGCCGGCUACUGAGGAAGCUGCCUUUUGUGCCUUAAAAUCUUGUACUAGCCUGGCAUUACCAUUGUGCAUUUAACUGGCCGAGACAUGUUUCUGUCUACACACUCUGUUCAGACCAACCUUCAGUUUGGAAGGAUUUUUCUUAUGCCUACUCCUCUCCUCUUUUCAACCAUAUCAGCUCUUUUGGAUCCUUUGUGUUUUGUAUAAAUGAUACACAUUUCUUCUGACACUUCCAUGUGUUAUUUUUAAGCAGUUUUUUUUAUGCUGCUUGCCAAUUUUUAUCCUUACAAUUCUUUGAAUUUUGUAUUAAAAACCACUAUGAACAAAUCAGAAGGUCCUUUUUUAAAGUCAGGCAUCAUCUUAAGGGAUUUGGGGCUUUUUGAUCCUGCUAAGAUUCCGAAUUCAAGUAUAUUUUGGUCACUAUUACAGAGUAACCCUUUCUUGAUACCAAUGUGAACAUCAAAUGCCAAAUUUGGCCAGAACUGUCUAAAGAACUGCUUUUCCCAUUGAAAACAGCUAAGCUCACCUCUGCAGUGACUGAAUUUUGGUAUGGCCCGAACACUACCCAGACCCAGACACCAAAAUGCCUGGGUGGCUCUGGGCUACCUGCCCAGAGCUGUGCGGUGCUCGGGAACAGCAAGGAGGUGGACAAGAAACUAUUCAAAUCCUGAGGAGGGACUGAAGCAAGUUGGAUUCUUGUGUUUAACAAGAUAUAAUACAUGCAUAGGGAAAUUAAGAACUGCAGCUGAAUAAACUGUACUUAAACAACGUGAAAACUACCCCAAUAAUAACAAUAAAAAAAAAGUAGGACAGCUGUGUCUUUAUACAAGAACUUGCUUUUUCUUUUAUGACAUUUAUUUCAAAUCAUGCAAACCCUUCAGAGCAGCUUUAAUGCCCAGUGGAGUUCUCCAACCUAAAUGUCUUGUCGUCAGUGGGAAGCAACAAAGAUAAUGUAAUUUGAAUGCUGGAUGCAACAACGUAGGCUGCUCUUGAGGCUGAUUCUCCCUGCUCCAACUGGGAAUGAUGGCUCCAAACAGACUCACCAAAACAGACUGAAAAGCAGACAUCUCAUUUGUGAGGAAAUGGCCAAUAGCUCAGCUUUUUUCCCCCCAUUUGUUUCUUCCUGGAAAGAAAAAACCAAAACAGUUGCAUAAAAUUUCUGCUAU